rnacentral:rRNA from 1 species
UACGUAGGGGCCUAGCGUUGUCCGGAAUUAUUGGGCGUAAAGAGCUCGUAGGCGGUUCGGCAAGUCGGAUGUGAAAUCUCCACGCUUAACGUGGAGGGGCCAUUCGAAACUGCUGUGACUCGAGUCCGGUAGGGGAGUGUGGAAUUCCCGGUGUAGCGGUGAAAUGCGCAGAUAUCGGGAGGAGCACCAGUAGCGAAGGCGGCACUCUGGGCCGGUACUGACGCUGAGGAGCGAAAGCGUGGGGAGCGAGCAGG